UAGUGUUAGUGUUAGAGAUGGGGUUAGUGUUAGGGUUAGAGAUGGGGUUAGAGUUAGGGUUAGAGAUGGGGUUAAUGUUAGGGUUAGAGAAGGGGUUAGAGAUGGUGUUAGAAUGGGGAUGGGGUUAGUGUUAGGGUUAGAGAUGGGGUUAGUGUUAGGGUUAGAGAUGGGGUUAGUGUUAGGGUUAAAGUUAGAGAUGGGGUUAGUGAAUGCGCUGAGAGAUGAUGGGUCCAAGUCAGUUAUCAUAUAAUCUACUGCGCUGUUCCCAAAGAAGGGAGCAAAAUGUAAAUCUCCUUAAAGUGUCUCCUUGUAUUCUACCACUGACAAUGUACAGACCACAGAUUCUCCAGUCUGGAAAGCAACUAUAAACAUUUAAAACAGG
ensembl:lncRNA